UGAUAAUCAUGACGGCCGAUCUCUG
rnacentral:piRNA from 1 species